rnacentral:rRNA from 1 species
AACGAACGCUGGCGGCAGGCUUAACACAUGCUAGUCGAACGCCCCGCAAGGGGAGUGGCAGACGGGUGAGUAACGCGUGGGAACGUGACCUUCGCUUCGGAAUAGCCCCGGGAAACUGGGAGUAAUACCGAAUACGCCGUAUUGGGAAAGAUUUAUCGGCGAAGGAUCGGCCCGCGUUAGAUUAGCUAGUUGGCGGUGUAAUGGACCACCAAGGCUACGAUCUAUAGCUGGUCUGAGAGGAUGAUCAGCCACACUGGGACUGAGACACGGCCCAGACUCCUACGGGAGGCAGCAGUGGGGAAUCUUGGACAAUGGGCGCAAGCCUGAUCCAGCCAUGCCGCGUGAGUGAAGAAGGCCUUAGGGUUGUAAAACUCUUUCGCCGGAGAAGAUAAUGACGGUAUCCGGAGAAGAAGCCCCGGCUAACUUCGUGCCAGCAGCCGCAGUAAGAC